AUUGAACGCUGGCGGCAGGCCUAACACAUGCAAGUCGAACGAGUGGCGGACGGGUGCGUAAUGUCUGGGAAACUGCCCGAUGGAGGGGGAUAACUACUGGAAACGGUAGCUAAUACCGCAUACCAUCGGAUGUGCCCAGAUGGGAUUAGCUAGUAGGGGGGGUAACGGCUCACCUAGGCGACGAUCCCUAGCUGGUCUGAGAGGAUGACCAGCCACCCGGGAACUGAGACACGGUCCAGAGUCCUACGGGAGGCAGCAGGGGGGAAUAUUGCACCAUGGGCGCAAGCCUGAUGCAGCCAGGCCGCGUGUAUGAAGAAGGCCUUCGGGUUUUAAAGUACUUUCAGCGAGGAGGCGUUACUCGCAGAAGAAGCACCGGCUAACUCCGUGCCAGCCGCCGCGGUAAUAC
rnacentral:rRNA from 1 species